rnacentral:rRNA from 1 species
AUUGAACGCUGGCGGCAUGCCUUACACAUGCAAGUCGAACGGUAACAGGUUAAGCUGACGAGUGGCGAACGGGUGAGUAAUAUAUCGGAACGUGCCCAGUCGUGGGGGAUAACGUAGCGAAAGCCACGCUAAUACCGCAUACGAUCUACGGAUGAAAGCGGGGGAUGGCAAGACCUCGCGCGAUUGGAGCGGCCGAUAUCAGAUUAGGUUGUUGGUGAGGUAAAAGCUCACCAAGCCUGCGAUCUGUAGCUGGUCUGAGAGGACGACCAGCCACACUGGAACUGAGACACGGUCCAGACUCCUGCGGGAGGCAGCAGUGGGGAAUUUUGGACAAUGGACGCAAGUCUGAUCCAGCAAUGCCGCGUGCAGGACGAAGGCCUUCGGGUUGUAAACUGCUUUUGUACGGAACGAAACGGUGAGCUCUAAUAUAGUUUGCUAAUGACGGUACCGUAAGAAUAAGCACCGGCUAACUACGUGCCAGCCGCCGCGGUAA